GACCUGGCUGGGCGGUCCGCCUAACGGCGUGUACUGUCUGGCUGGGCCUUACCUCUUGGUGAACCGGCGUGCCCUUUAUUGGCGUGCGUCGGGGAACCAGGACUUUUACCUUGAGAAAAUUAGAGUGUUUAAAGCGGGCAUUUGCUUGAAUACAUUAGCAUGGAAUAAUGAAAUAGGACGGACGGUUCUAUUUUGUUGGUUAUGGGACCACCGUA
rnacentral:rRNA from 1 species